rnacentral:rRNA from 1 species
CAGAGGGUGCAAGCGUUAAUCGGAGUUACUGGGCGUAAAGGGCGCGUAGGUGGUUGUGUAUGUGAGACGUGAAAGCCCGGGCUUAACCUGGGAAAGUCGUCUUAAACUGCACGACUGGAGUACUGUAGAGGGUAGUGGAAUUUCCGGUGUAGCGGUGAAAUGCGUAGAGAUCGGAAGGAACACCAGUGGCGAAGGCGGCUACCUGGACAGAUACUGACACUGAGGCGCGAAAGCGUGGGGAGCAAACAGGAUUAGAUACCCUGGUAGUCCACGCUGUAAACGAUGAGAACUAGAUGUUGGCCAGCUUGACUGGUUAGUAUCGAAGCUAACGCGAUAAGUUCUCCGCCUGGGGAGUACGGCCGCAAGGCUA